CUGAAUCAGUGUGUGUGUUAGUGGAAGCGUCUGGAAAGGCGUGCGAUACAGGGUGACAGCCCCGUACACAAAAAUGCACAUAUUGUGAGCUCGAUGAGUAGGGCGGGACACGUGGUAUCCUGUCUGAAUAUGGGGGGACCAUCCUCCAAGGCUAAAUACUCCUGACUGACCGAUAGUGAACCAGUACCGUGAGGGAAAGGCGAAAAGAACCCCGGCGAGGGGAGUGAAAAAGAACCUGAAACCGUGUACGUACAAGCAGUGGGAGCACUCUUAUGGGUGUGACUGCGUACCUUUUGUAUAAUGGGUCAGCGACUUAUAUUCUGUAGCAAGGUUAACCGAAUAGGGGAGCCGAAGGGAAACCGAGUCUUAACUGGGCGUUAAGUUGCAGGGUAUAGACCCGAAACCCGGUGAUCUAGCCAUGGGCAGGUUGAAGGUUGGGUAACACUAACUGGAGGACCGAACCGACUAAUGUUGAAAAAUUAGCGGAUGACUUGUGGCUGGGGGUGAAAGGCCAAUCAAACCGGGAGAUAGCUGGUUCUCCCCGAAAGCUAUUUAGGUAGCGCCUCGUGAAUUCAUCUCCGGGGGUAGAGCACUGUUUCGGCAAGGGGGUCAUCCCGACUUACCAACCCGAUGCAAACUGCGAAUACCGGAGAAUGUUAUCACGGGAGACACACGGCGGGUGCUAACGUCCGUCGUGAAGAGGGAAACAACCCAGACCGCCAGCUAAGGUCCCAAAGUCAUGGUUAAGUGGGAAACGAUGUGGGAAGGCCCAGACAGCCAGGAUGUUGGCUUAGAAGCAGCCAUCAUUUAAAGAAAGCGUAAUAGCUCACUGGUCGAGUCGGCCUGCGCGGAAGAUGUAACGGGGCUAAACCAUGCACCGAAGCUGCGGCAGCGACGCUUAUGCGUUGUUGGGUAGGGGAGCGUUCUGUAAGCCUGUGAAGGUGUGCUGUGAGGCAUGCUGGAGGUAUCAGAAGUGCGAAUGCUGACAUAAGUAACGAUAAAGCGGGUGAAAAGCCCGCUCGCCGGAAGACCAAGGGUUCCUGUCCAACGUUAAUCGGGGCAGGGUGAGUCGACCCCUAAGGCGAGGCCGAAAGGCGUAGUCGAUGGGAAACAGGUUAAUAUUCCUGUACUUGGUGUUACUGCGAAGGGGGGACGGAGAAGGCUAUGUUGGCCGGGCGACGGUUGUCCCGGUUUAAGCGUGUAGGCUGGUUUUCCAGGCAAAUCCGGAAAAUCAAGGCUGAGGCGUGAUGACGAGGCACUACGGUGCUGAAGCAACAAAUGCCCUGCUUCCAGGAAAAGCCUCUAAGCAUCAGGUAACAUCAAAUCGUACCCCAAACCGACACAGGUGGUCAGGUAGAGAAUACCAAGGCGCUUGAGAGAACUCGGGUGAAGGAACUAGGCAAAAUGGUGCCGUAACUUCGGGAGAAGGCACGCUGAUAUGUAGGUGAAGUCCCUUGCGGAUGGAGCUGAAAUCAGUCGAAGAUACCAGCUGGCUGCAACUGUUUAUUAAAAACACAGCACUGUGCAAACACGAAAGUGGACGUAUACGGUGUGACGCCUGCCCGGUGCCGGAAGGUUAAUUGAUGGGGUCAGCGCAAGCGAAGCUCUUGAUCGAAGCCCCGGUAAACGGCGGCCGUAACUAUAACGGUCCUAAGGUAGCGAAAUUCCUUGUCGGGUAAGUUCCGACCUGCACGAAUGGCGUAAUGAUGGCCAGGCUGUCUCCACCCGAGACUCAGUGAAAUUGAACUCGCUGUGAAGAUGCAGUGUACCCGCGGCAAGACGGAAAGACCCCGUGAACCUUUACUAUAGCUUGACACUGAACAUUGAGCCUUGAUGUGUAGGAUAGGUGGGAGGCUUUGAAGUGUGGACGCCAGUCUGCAUGGAGCCGAC
rnacentral:rRNA from 1 species